UACGAAGGGGGCUAGCGUUGCUCGGAAUUACUGGGCGUAAAGCGCACGUAGGCGGCUUUCUAAGUCGGGGGUGAAAUCCUGGAGCUCAACUCCAGAACUGCCUUCGAUACUGGAGAGCUCGAGUCCGGGAGAGGUGAGUGGAACUGCGAGUGUAGAGGUGAAAUUCGUAGAUAUUCGCAAGAACACCGGUGGCGAAGGCGGCCUGCUGGGCAGUUGCUGACACUAAGGCGCGACAGCGUGGGGAGCAAACAGG
rnacentral:rRNA from 1 species